rnacentral:lncRNA from 1 species
CACUGAAAUUGCAGGGCUCGUAAAUAAAGCUUUGUUAGCACACGGCCGCACCCACUUGUGUUUGCAUUAUGGUCUAGAGCUGCCUUUGUUUUUCCUGGGCAGAGCUGAGGGGUGACAGCAGAUUGGACGGCCAGCAAUCCCAACAUGUGGGCACCCUGGCUCCUACGGGGAGAAUUGCUGAUUCCGGAAUCAAAUCACAGGAGGAGGGGAGUUGCAACCUCGCUUGCCCGAGGUCCAUGAAAUGUGGACCGGGUCUCACAAUCGUUGCCCAAGAAGCAAAGAUUAAAAGAAAGAUAAAACGCUGCACGGAGCUGUGUUGUUGUGUAGCAGGCUAAGCUGCAACCAGCAUCCCAUAUGGGCACCGGUUCGUGUCCCAGCUGCUCCACUUCCAAUCCAGCUUCCUGCUAAUGGCCUAGAAAAAGCAGCAAUGAUGGUCCAAGUGUUUGGAUUCCUGCCACCCAUGUGGGAGGCCCGGAGGCAGCUCCUGGCUUUGGCCUGGCCCAGUGCCGGCUGUUGCGGCCAUGUGGGGAGUGAACUAUGGGUGGAAGAUCUCCAGCUCUGGCUCUCUCUCUCUCUGUCUUUCAAAAUAAAUAAAUAAAUCUUAAAAAUGAUAAUGCGGCAUUACCAUGAGUGUAGGGCAAACCGCUUUCCCACCGAGUCAGGGGAGCUGGUCCUUGCUGUCUGGAAGACUUUGCAAGCUCAGGUCCAGGAGCUCAGCAAGGUGCACGCGCUUUGCCUGGUCCGUUCCGCUUCUCGAGGUGCAUCCUACGGAGACUCUUGACCGCACGUGCGGUGUUAUCCGCCAGGAUGUAAAUGAAAAAUAGAAUUUGAAGAUCCAAGCAUUCAACACCAGCGGCUUGUCCCAUCAACCUGACCGUGUCCAUGUAAAAAUGAGGUGGAUCCAGAACAGCCCAGGAGCCAGGCACGCGUGGAUGGUCUACAGAGGGGGAACAAGCCCCGAGACAAAGCCCACGGGCAGGAAGAGGCAGCGCUAAUGCUCCCCUACCCAGAAAACCGCAAGCGUCCGCCCCACGGGGUAGCCGCGUCUCAUUCUGGACCAUCUAAGCUUGCUUCGGCUUUUCUCUGAUUUUCCAAUUUUUC